AUUGAACGCUGGCGGCAGGCCUAACACAUGCAAGUCGUGCGGAUGAAGGGAGCUUGCUCCUGGAUUCAGCGGCGGACGGGUGAGUAAUGCCUAGGAAUCUGCCUGGUAGUGGGGGAUAACGUCCGGAAACGGGCGCUAAUACCGCAUACGUCCUGAGGGAGAAAGUGGGGGAUCUUCGGACCUCACGCUAUCAGAUGAGCCUAGGUCGGAUUAGCUAGUUGGUGGGGUAAAGGCCUACCAAGGCGACGAUCCGUAACUGGUCUGAGAGGAUGAUCAGUCACACUGGAACUGAGACACGGUCCAGGCUCCUACGGGAGGCAGCAGUGGGGAAUAUUGGACAAUGGGCGAAAGCCUGAUCCAGCCACGCCGCGUGUGUGAAGAAGGUCUUCGGAUUGUAAAGCACUUUAAGUUGGGAGGAAGGGCAGUAAGUUAAUACCUUGCUGUUUUGACGUUACCAACAGAAUAAGCACCGGCUAACUUCGUG
rnacentral:rRNA from 1 species